CCUACGGGAGGCAGCAGUGAGGAAUAUUGGUCAAUGGACGAGAGUCUGAACCAGCCAAGUAGCGUGAAGGAUGACUGCCCUAUGGGUUGUAAACUUCUUUUAUAUGGGAAUAAAAUGUUCCACGUGUGGGAUUUUGUAUGUACCAUAUGAAUAAGGAUCGGCUAACUCCGUGCCAGCAGCCGCGGUAAUACGGAGGAUCCGAGCGUUAUCCGGAUUUAUUGGGUUUAAAGGGAGCGUAGGUGGAUUGUUAAGUCAGUUGUGAAAGUUUGCGGCUCAACCGUAAAAUUGCAGUUGAAAAUGGCAGUCUUGAGUACAGUAGAGGUGGGCGGAAUUCGUGGUGUAGCGGUGAAAUGCUUAGAUAUCACGAAGAACGCCGAUUGCGAAGGCAGUUCACUGGACUGCAACUGACACUGAGGCUCGAAAGUGUGGGUAUCAAACAGGAUUAGAUACCCGGGUAGUC
rnacentral:rRNA from 1 species